AACAAAAGUUGACAGUAUACACUAUGCUUAGAAGUCUUUAUAAUCAAAAUCCUUGAUUAAUGUAGUAAUAAUUAAUGCAGUUUCUCUUUAGUCUGUGAUUCCCAAUGGGCGUUAUUAUCUUUUAAAGUCAAAUGACUUGCGUCACUGCUGACAAACCCAACAACCAUGAUCUUUCAAACCAAUGCCAGGCAUUUUGAAGGUGUCAUAUCAUUCGUCACACUCAGCCUGAAAAGUGUUCCAUUAAAUGUUUUUAAAUGGAGCUCAGAAGUCUAGAUCCAGUCUACACCUCUUGGCUAAAGCAGGAAUACAGCAAACUAAUGGAAGAGGCUGCUCUUCUAGAAAG